GACGAACGCUGGCGGCGUGCUUAACACAUGCAAGUCGAACGGAAAGGCCCUGCUUUCAGGGUACUCGAGUGUCGAACGGGUGAGUAACACGUGUGUGAUCUGCCCUGCACUUCGGGAUAAGCCUGGGAAACUGUGUCUAAUACCGGAUAGGAGCCAUUUUUAUUGUGAUGGUUGGAAAGUUUUUUUCGGUGUAGGAUGAGCUCGCGGCCUAUCAGCUUGUUGGUGGGGUAAUGGCCUACCAAGGCGGCGACGGGUAGCCGGCCUGGGAGGGUGGACGGCCACAUUGGGACUGAGAGACGGCCCAGACUCCGACGGGAGGCAGCAGUGGGGAAUAUUGCAAAAUGGGGGGAAGCCUGAUGCAGCGACGCCGCGUGGGGGAUGACGGGCUUCGGGUUGUAAACUCCUUUCGCUAGGGAAGAAGCUUUUUGUGACGGUACCUAGAUAAGAAGCACCGGCUAACUACGUG
rnacentral:rRNA from 1 species